GUGACCUCAAAUCAGGUAGAACUACCCGCUGAACUUAAGCAUAUCAAUAAGCUGAGGAAAAGAAACUAACAAGGAUUCCCCUAGUAACUGCGAGUGAAGCGGGAAAAGCUCAAAUUUAAAAUCUGACAGUCUUUGGCUGUCCGAGUUGUAAUCUAGAGAAGUGUUAUCCGCGCUGGACCGUGUACAAGUCUCCUGGAAUGGAGC
rnacentral:rRNA from 1 species